AGGGAAUAUUGCGCAAUGGGGGGAACCCUGACGCAGCGACGCCGCGUGAGCGAUGAAGGCCUUCGGGUCGUAAAGCUCUGUCCUAUGGGACGAAGAGGACGGUACCAUAGGAGGAAGCCCCGGCUAACUACGUGCCAGCAGCCGCGGUAAUACGUAGGGGGCGAGCGUUGUCCGGAAUUACUGGGCGUAAAGGGUGCGUAGGCGGAUAUGCAAGUCCGGUGUGAAAUGCGCCGGCUUAACCGGUGAGCUGCAUUGGAAACUGUAUAUCUAGAGUGCAGGAGAGGGGAGCGGAAUUCCUAGUGUAGCGGUGGAAUGCGUAGAUAUUAGGAGGAACACCAGUGGCGAAGGCGGCUUCCUGGACUGUAACUGACGCUGAGGCACGAAAGCUGGGGUAGCGAAC
rnacentral:rRNA from 1 species